rnacentral:rRNA from 1 species
CCUACGGGAGGCAGCAGUGGGGAAUUUUGGACAAUGGGGGCAACCCUGAUCCAGCAAUGCCGCGUGAGUGAAGAAGGCCUUCGGGUUGUAAAGCUCUUUUAGUCAGGGUAAGAAACAGCAGCUCUAACACAGCUGUGAAUGACGGUACCUGAAGAAUAAGCACCGGCUAACUACGUGCCAGCAGCCGCGGUAAUACGUAGGGUGCAAGCGUUAAUCGGAAUUACUGGGCGUAAAGCGUGCGCAGGCGGUUAUAUAAGACAGGUGUGAAAUCCCCGGGGCUUAACCUGGGAAUUGCAUCUGUGACUGUAUAGCUAGAGUGUGUCAGAGGGGGGUUAGAAUUCCACGUGUAGCAGUGAAAUGCGUAGAUAUGUGGAGGAAUACCAAUGGCGAAGGCAGCCCCCCUGGGAUAACACCGACGCUCAUGCACGAAAGCGUGGGGAGCAAACAGGAUUAGAUACCCUGGUAGUCCACGCCCUAAACGAUGCUGACUAGUUGUUCGGGUAUUUUAUCCUGAGUAACGUAGCUAACGNGUAGAGUCNGCGCGUGGGNGGUACGGUCGCGAGUAAACGUACGAAGAAGUAGAGCGNGAGAGAGCGACGGACGACGACGAGGGAGGAGG